UACGAAGGGGGCUAGCGUUGCUCGGAAUCACUGGGCGUAAAGCGCACGUAGGCGGAUCUUUAAGUCAGGGGUGAAAUCCUGGAGCUCAACUCCAGAACUGCCUUUGAUACUGGAGAUCUCGAGUCCGGAAGAGGUGAGUGGAACUCCGGGUGUAGAGGUGAAAUUCGUAGAUAUUCGGAAGAACACCAGUGGCGAAGGCGGCUCACUGGUCCGGUACUGACGCUGAGGUGCGAAGGCGUGGGGAGCAAACAGG
rnacentral:rRNA from 1 species